AUAUUGGACAAUGGGCGAAAGCCUGAUCCAGCAAUGCCGCGUGAGUGAUGAAGGCCUUAGGGUUGUAAAGCUCUUUUACCCGGGAUGAUAAUGACAGUACCGGGAGAAUAAGCCCCGGCUAACUCCGUGCCAGCAGCCGCGGUAAUACGGAGGGGGCUAGCGUUGUUCGGAAUUACUGGGCGUAAAGCGCACGUAGGCGGCUUUGUAAGUUAGAGGUGAAAGCCCAGGGCUCAACCCUGGAAUUGCCUUUAAGACUGCAUCGCUAGAAUUGUGGAGAGGUAAGUGGAAUUCCGAGUGUAGAGGUGAAAUUCGUAGAUAUUCGGAAGAACACCAGUGGCGAAGGCGACUUACUGGACACAUAUUGACGCUGAGGUGCGAAAGCGUGGGGAGCAAACAGG
rnacentral:rRNA from 1 species